rnacentral:lncRNA from 1 species
GAGAGUUCACUUUGCCCACCAUUGAAUCCCUAGUACCUGUAAUAACGACUGGCUUGGAGUUGGCAGCCAACAAAAAUUUGUCGAACGGAUGAACGAAAUGAAGGAACGUGAGAGGUACACAGGAACCACAAUCAUAUAAGGCAAAACUUGCCAUGUUUGGAGUGAGCAGAGCUGGAAGGCCGUACAAAUAGGUCUUUGCAAAAAUGUAUGACUGCACCAGCUAUGGAUUCUUUCUGGUUUCUGCUGCCCUGUAACCUCCAACAGAACAACGCUGCUUCCAGGAGGUGCAGUGUCUUCAUGGGUUUCCCAGAAUCUUUUCGAUGUCAUAAGAAGGCAACAGAUUUCUAAGGAGCACCUGAAUUCCUUGAAAAUGGCUUUGAACAAUAUGAGUUUCUUUUCUUUUCUUUUCUUUUUUUUUUUUUUUUUUUGAGACGGGAUCUUACUCUGUCGCCCAGGCUGGAGUGCAGUGGUGCGAUCUAGGCUCACUGCAAGCUCUGCCUCUCAGCUUCAUGCCAUUCUCCUGCCUCAACCUCCCUAGUAGCUGGGACUACAGGCAACCGCCACCACACUCGGCUAAUUUUUUGUAUUUUCAGUAGAGACGGG